GAUGAACGCUGGCGGCGUGCCUAAUACAUGCAAGUCGAGCGAACAGAUGAGGAGCUUGCUCCUCUGACGUUAGCGGCGGACGGGUGAGUAACACGUGGAUAACCUACCUAUAAGACUGGGAUAACUUCGGGAAACCGGAGCUAAUACCGGAUAAUAUAUUGAACCGCAUGGUUCAAUAGUGAAAGACGGUUUUGCUGUCACUUAUAGAUGGAUCCGCGCCGCAUUAGCUAGUUGGUAAGGUAACGGCUUACCAAGGCAACGAUGCGUAGCCGACCUGAGAGGGUGAUCGGCCACACUGGAACUGAGACACGGUCCAGACUCCUACGGGAGGCAGCAGUAGGGAAUCGUCCGCAACGGGCGAAAGCCUGACGGAGCAACGCCGCGUGAGUGAUGAAGGUCUUCGGAUCGUAAAACUCUGUUAUUAGGGAAGAACAAAUGUGUAAGUAACUAUGCACGUCUUGACGGUACCUAAUCAGAAAGCCACGGCUAACUACGU
rnacentral:rRNA from 1 species